UGUAAUGUCUAGAUUAUUUAUUUUUAGGCUGCAAUCCUGUCACCUCAGGUCGAUCGGUACCUCAGUUUGAUAUUAAGAAUCUAAGUAAUUAGCAUUCUCGAUUUAUUAAAUUCAGUUCCUAAACUUUGUCUAGGUCACACCCAGCAAGGGUACUCCUGGGCCAUUAGCUCAGGUGGUUAGAGCGCACCCCUGAUAAGGGUGAGGUCCCUGGUUCAAGUCCAGGAUGGCCCAUUCGGUGUUGGGGGUAUAGCUCAGUUGGUAGAGCGCCUGCUUUGCAAGCAGGAUGUCAGCGGUUCGAGUCCGCUUACCUCCACUGAUCCACCUCUUGAUAACGAACCUAUAGGAGAUUUUGUUGAAUAUGUGAUCUAGAUUUGUUCUAGUUGAAUAGAACCUAGCUUCUUGUCAAUAAGACUAAUGAAUUCAUUUAGUUUGCUUGAUAGGACGCUGGGCUCACUGCAAUUUAAUUGCAGAGUUCUUCAGCAGAACCUUGACAACUGCAUAGGUGAGUCUGGAAAAAAUAAAGCAUCUCAUGGAUACAUUAUUUUGAGACAUUAUUCAAGUUUUAUACUUUUAAAAUUUGAUUUUAUUUCAACAGUAAUGUUUAAUUCUUGAGCAAGAGCCGAGACUCUAUAAU
rnacentral:tRNA from 1 species